rnacentral:tRNA from 1 species
GCCGCGGUAGCUCAGUGCCUCAGAGCGUCGGUCUUGUAAGCCGAAUGUCGGAGGCCAAACUCCUCCCCGCAGCU